GGGGCUGUAGCUCAGUGCUAGAACAUCUGCCCUGGAUGCAGACGGUCACAGGUUUAACUCCUGGCAUCUCCA